GAUGAAGAACGUAGCGAAAUGCGAUACGUAAUGUGAAUUGCAGAAUUCAGUGAAUCAUCGAAUCUUUGAACGCAUAUUGCGCUCUCUGGUAUUCCGGAGAGCAGGCUUGUUUGAGUAUCAGUAAACACCUCAACUUCCAUAUCUUUUUUGAAAUGGGAGUUGGACUUGAGUGAUCCCAACGCUUUUCCUCACCGAAAAGUGGCGGGUUACUUGAAAUGCAGGUGCAGCUGGACUUUUCUCUGAGCUAUAAGCAUAUCUAUUUAGUCUGCCUAAAAAACAGAUUAUUACCUUUGCUGCAGCUAACAUAAAGGAGAUUAGUUCUUGUGCUGACUGAUGCAGGAUUCACAAAGACAGGCUUCGGCCGACUUUGUAAACUCGAUCUCAAAUCAAGUAAGACUACCCGCUGAACUUAAGCAUAUCAAUAAGCGGAGGA
rnacentral:misc_RNA from 1 species